rnacentral:sRNA from 1 species
AACUAGUACAGCGCGGGGGGGUCAAAC